rnacentral:rRNA from 1 species
UACAGAGGGGGGCAAGCGUUGUUCGGAAUUACUGGGCGUAAAGGGCGCGUAGGCGGCGCGGUAAGUCGGGUGUGAAAUCUCGGAGCUUAACUCCGAAACUGCAUUCGAUACUGCCGUGCUUGAGGACUGGAGAGGAGACUGGAAUUUACGGUGUAGCGGUGAAAUGCGCAGAUAUCAGGAGGAACACCUGAGGCGAAGGCGGGCUACUGGGCCGAUACUGACGCUGAUGCGCGAAAGCGUGGGGAGCAAACGGG